GGCGCACCAGUCGCGAAUCAUUCACAAUGGGCGAAAGCCUGAUGGUGUGACGCCGCGUGGAGGAUGAAGGUCUUCGGAUUGUAAACUCCUGUCAAGUGAGAGUAAAGCCGGGCGUUAACUGCGAGCCGGUUUGAGAGUAUCACUAGAGGAAGAGACGGCUAACUCUGUGCCAGCAGCCGCGGUAAUACAGAGGUCAAGCGUUGUUCGGAAUCACUGGGCGUAAAGGGUGCGUAGGCUGCACGGUAAGUCAGAUGUGAAAGCCCGGAGCUCAACUUCGGAAUUGCAUCCGAUACUGCCGUGCUUGAGGACUGGAGAGGAGAUUGGAAUUCACAGUGGAGCAGCGAAAUGCGUAGAUAUUGUGAGGAGCACUAGUGGCGAAGGCGAAUCUCUGGACAGUUCCUGACGCUGAGGCACGAAGGCCAGGGGAGCAAACGGGAUUAGAUACCCGCGUAGUCC
rnacentral:rRNA from 1 species